rnacentral:tRNA from 1 species
GCCGGGAUAGCUCAGUUGGUAGAGCANAGGACUGAAAAUCCUCGUGUCACCAGUU